UACAGAGGGUGCAAGCGUUGUUCGGAAUUAUUGGGCGUAAAGCGCGUGUAGGCGGCCAAGCAAGUUGGGUGUGAAAGCCCUCGGCUUAACCGAGGAAGUGCGCCCAAAACUACUUGGCUUGAGUACCGGAGAGGAUGGCGGAAUUCCCGGUGUAGAGGUGAAAUUCGUAGAUAUCGGGAGGAACACCCGUGGCGAAGGCGGCCAUCUGGACGGAUACUGACGCUGAGACGCGAAAGCGUGGGGAGCAAACAGG
rnacentral:rRNA from 1 species